rnacentral:rRNA from 1 species
GACGAACGCUGGCGGCGUGCCUAAUACAUGCAAGUCGAACGAAGUGGCGAACGGGUGAGUAACGUGUAAUCAACCUGCCCUUCAGAGGGGGACAACAGUUGGAAACGACUGCUAACACCGCAUACUGAAGGAGGGGAUUGCGUUUGAUUAGCUAGUUGGCGGGGUAACGGCCCACCAUGGCGACGAUCAGUAGCCGGGCUGAGAGGAUGAUCGGCCACAUUGGGACUGAGACACGGCCCAGACUCCUACGGGAGGCAGCAGUAGGGAAUCUUCCGCAAUGGACGAAAGUCUGACGGAGCAACGCCGCGUGAGUGAAGACGGCCUUCGGGUUGUAAAGCUCUGUUAAUCGGGACGCGGUACCGAAAUAGAAAGCCACGGCUAACUACGUGCCAGCAGCCGCGGUAAUUC